rnacentral:rRNA from 1 species
GAUGAACGCUGGCGGCGUGCCUAAUACAUGCAAGUCGAGCGCACGGACGAGAAGCUUGCUUCUCUGAUGUUAGCGGCGGACGGGUGAGUAACACGUGGAUAACCUACCUAUAAGACUGGGAUAACUUCGGGAAACCGUAGCUAAUACCGGAUAAUAUUUUGAACCGCAUGGUUCAAAAGUGAAAGACGGUCUUGCUGUCACUCAUAGUCGGAUCCGCGCUGCAUUAGCUAGUUGGUAAGGUAACGGCUUACCAAGGCAACGAUGCAUAGCCGACCUGAGAGGGUGAUCGGCCACACUGGAACUGAGACACGGUCCAGACUCCUACGGGAGGCAGCAGUAGGGAAUCUUCCGCAAUGGGCGAAAGCCUGACGGAGCAACGCCGCGUGAGUGAUGAAGGUCUUCGGAUCGUAAAACUCUGUUAUUAGGGAAGAACAUAUGUGUAAGUAACUGUGCACAUCUUGACGGUACCUAAUCAGAAAGCCACGGCUAACUACGUG